rnacentral:rRNA from 1 species
UCAAGCUACCAAGGGCACAUGGGGGAUGUCUAGGCGUUAGGAGGCUUUGAAGGGCGCGGAAGGCUGCGAAAAGCCUGGGGUAGCUGUCAAACAAGCGAUGAUCCCGGGAUUCCCGAACUGGCAUGUACUGAAUACAUAGGUGCAUGCAGCCAACGCGGCGAACUGAAACAUCUUAGUAACCGCAGGAACAGAAAGAAAAAUCGAUUUCCUCAGUAGCGGCGAGCGAACGGGAAAUAGCCCAAACCGUGGUGGUUUCCACUGCGGGGUUGUAGGGCCCUCCACCGGAGUUAUCAAACAGUUGGCUAGCGGAACGAUCUGGAAAGGUCGUCCACAGAGGGUGACAGGCCCGUACGCGAAAGCUGGCUGUCUCUGGAGGGUACCCUGAGUAGGUUGAGGCACGUGAAACCUCGACUGAAUCGACGGGGACCAUCCCGUAAGGCUAAAUACUCCCUAACGACCGAUAGUGAACAAGUAGCGCGAGCGAAAGAUGAGAAGAACCCCUGCUAGGGGAGGAAUGUGAACCUGAAACCAUGUGCCUACAAGCGGUCGGAGUGCUAUGGCCUUUUGGCAAUGCAUGACGGCGUGCCUUUUGCAUAAUGAUCCGGCGAGUUACCGUCAGUGGCUUGGUUAAGGCUCUCAGGGCCGAAGCCGAAGGGAAACCGAGUCUGAAUAGGGCAUUUUGUCACUGGUGGUAGACGCGAAACUGCACGAACUACCCAUGAGCAGGUUGAACCGCGGGUCAAACCGCGCGGAGGACCGAACCCACUUGGGUUGAAAACCGAGGGGAUGACUUGUGGGGAGGAGUGAAAGUCUAAUCAAGCGCAGAGAUAGCUCGUUCUCUCCGAAAUAGCUUUAGGGCUAGCCUCGAGUUAUUGCAUGGCGGGGGUAGAGAGACUGAUUUGGAUGGGGGCCCUUCCCGGGUACCUCACCGAGCCAAACUCCGAAUACCGUUAUGUCUAUCUCGGGAGUCAGUCCGCGAGGGAUAAGCUUCGCGGUCGAGAGGGAAACAACCCAGACCACCUGCUAAGGUCCCCAAGCAGUACUCAGUCACUAAGGAAGUGAAGUUGCAGUGACAGCCAGGAUGUUGGCUUAGAAGCAGCCACCAUUUAAAAAGUGCGUAACAGCUUACUGGUCGAGCAACUUCGCGCCGAUAAUGAACGGGAGUCAAGUACUGCACCGAAGCAGUGGGAUCCACCCAUCUUUAGGGAUGGCGGAUCGGUAGGAGAGCGCUGUACAUCAGAUACAAGCCACACCGUAAGGAGUGGUGUCGGGGUGUACAGGUGAUUAUGCCGGAAUGAGUAACGAUAAAGCAGGUGAGAAUCCUGCUCGCCGAAAGCCUAAGGUUUCCUGGGGAAGGUAAAUCCGCCCAGGGUUAGCCGGUUCCUUAGUCGAGGCCGAAAGGCGUAGACGAUGGAUAACAGGUCAAUAUUCCUGUGCCGCAUGCUGGACCGAUGGAGGGACGGCGUCUGAAAGGUGAGGGGACGGAUAGAAAUGUCCCUCGCUUGUGUGGAAGGUAGCUGUAGGAAAAUCCGCAGCGACAUCCGGAAGCAUGAGACAAAGACGUUUAUGUUUCGAUAGUCAUCAGAAGGACGUCCAAGAAAAGCUUCUAGGGUUGAAGGCAUGUGACCGUACUAAAACUGACACAGGUAGGCGGGACGAGUAGUCCUAGGCGCUCGGGAGAACACUGGUUAAGGAACUCUGCAAAAUGGCCCCGUAAGUUCGCGAUAAGGGGUGCCUCCUUUGGUUCACGCUGAGGGAGGUCACAGUAAAUCGGCAUCAGCGACUGUUUAUCAAAAACACAGGACUCUGCUAACUCGUAAGAGGAUGUAUAGAGUCUGACGCCUGCCCGGUGCUGGUAGGUUAAGGAAGAAUGUUAGUCGAAAGGCGAAGCAUGCGACCGAAGCCCCAGUAAACGGCGGCCGUAACUAUGACGGUCCUAAGGUAGCGAAGUUCCUUGUCGGGUAAGUUCCGACCUGCAUGAAUGGCGUAACGACUGAUGCACUGUCUCAACCAGUGACCCGGUGAAAUUGUAGCCGUGGUGAAGAUGCCACGUACCCGCAGUAAGACGGAAAGACCCCGUGAACCUUUACUGUAGGCUGAUAUUGGUCUCGGACGUGUUCUGUGUAGCAUAGGUGGGAGGCUUUGAAGCGGUAGCGCUAGCUAUUGUGGAGCCAACGUUGAAAUACCACCCUGGAUUCGUUUGAGUUCUAACGCUGAUUCCCGUGAAACCGGGCAGCGGACAGUGUCAGUUGGGCAGUUUGACUGGGG